ensembl:lncRNA
CUCAACUCCAAAUACCUGUCCUGUUAACCUUUCAUUUCUGCCCUGAUUUCCGCGGGCUCACGGAGGUCCCUCUCCCUCCAUCCCCAGGUGAAGUGCAAGAACUGCGGAGCCUUUGGGCACCUGGCCAGCAGCAGAAGGUGCCCCAUGAAGUGCUGGGGUGGGGCCCUUGCCCCCCAGCCCUUGGGCUCCAGUAAGAAUGAAAACCUGGAACCCAGGAGGCCUCAGGACUGCCACACCCCAGGGUCCUUCCACACGACUGGCAGCGGGAAGGAACCAGGACAGAGGCAAGAAGAGCGGAAAGAGAAAGACCUGCCCCGGAAAUUACCCGGGAGACCCCAGCGGAAGCCGCAGAGCGCCUGCAGCGAACCCGCGGACUCGGGCGCCCACCUGCGGCGCCCCACCAGGCCGUUGCCCGUCCAAACCAAUACGAAGCCAUCUGUCCUGGGCCCUGUCCCCACGUGUCAGCCACCUGCUAGGACAGCUGACAGGCGGUCGUCCUGCCCUACACGGCCCCUCUAUAAAGCCCCUGAAGUGCGUGCUUGUGAACCAGCCCGAAGAUGCAGGGCGGACUUGCCCUGCGAAGAUCCAAAGAGCUCCUGCCGGGACCAGGCUCUCAUUUCCAAGUCGACAGCCGGCUGGCCUGAGGUUUCCUCCCGUGAUGUUCCCCCGUCGGCCAGGAAGACACCUGCGCUGGGUCCUGUGUGUCACCGCCAGGCACAAGCCAAGCAUCCUCCUGUGGACUCAAAGCCCCGCCCACAGCCUGCCCCGGGAACACAUGGCCAGAGCUCCAAAGUCAGCAUCCAGGCACAGGGGAAGAGGUCUCCCCAGGUCCCCAUGCAGCCUUCCCAGAACCCUCCAAAGAAAGCCAGAUUCAACUUCUUCUAACCCCCCUCCCAGGUGGGUCUCAGUGACCUGGUCUGGGGGUUGUCCCGGUCGCAGCUUCCCCCCAGUAUCCAAACAGAUACUUCAAGUGACUGGGAAGAUACCAGUCCUAAUGCCCAGUCUUGAACGCCAGGCUCCACCUGACUCACCUGGUCUGAGCCCCGUUCAGACCUGUGCUGUCCCCUAACCCUGACCACCCAGGCAUGUUCCAGGCCAGCAGGGGCGAGGAUGGGACAUGAGAUGGGACAGGGCGUGGCAGAGCUCCAGGUUUUCCACUGUUCUGUCUCCCUCUGGAGAAGUCUCCACCCGCUGGUCAGAGCCCUCCCAUCUCAGAGGCCUCGGAGAGACACGUUCCCGGUGUUCCACUGAGAGGACCUCCUGGUCUCUUCCCCUGCUGAGAAUGACUGAGUGUGGCCAAUGUCCCACCCUGGAAGUGGCUGAAAGGUGGGAAAAGAGGCAGGAACAGCUGCGUCCCGUGAGUCGGCAUUUCUGCCGGUGGUGCCUGUGCACCUGCUGGGGCUCCAGGUGACACUGUGGGUCACCGGACAGACAUCACCUUUACAUUUUGUACAUUUAAGUCAUGGUGGGAAUGGAGCGUAUGAAAUUGUCAUGGGCAGGCCUUUGUAAAUCAGAUGUUAUUUAAGAAACUAAGUCAACAAGGGGAAGCUAUGUUGUACCCUAACGUGAAUAGAAAGCUAUUAAUUCAUCUGUGUGGGUGGAUAAAUGACUAGUAUUUGGGUAACUGGGGAAAAGGCCUCUCUGUGAUGGUGGAGAAGGCCUGAACCCUCCGGAAGAGUGCCCUCUCCUGGUUAUCGAGAUUUUGACUUUGAAGGAAUUUCAGUGGAAAUUCUCGUUGCCUUGGGGAAAUGGGAAUAUUCUUUUAACCUUGCACAUUUUGUUACUAAAAAUGGUUGCAAUGUUAUGUUUGACUACUUUCUUUCAAUAUGAAUAAAAUUGUCUGAAAUGGAACGUG